rnacentral:rRNA from 1 species
UACGGGGGGGGGCAAGCGUUGUUCGGAAUUACUGGGCGUAAAGGGCUCGUAGGUGGCCAACUAAGUCAGACGUGAAAUCCCUCGGCUUAACCGGGGAACUGCGUCUGAUACUGGAUGGCUUGAGUUCGGGAGAGGGAUGCGGAAUUCCAGGUGUAGCGGUGAAAUGCGUAGAUAUCUGGAGGAACACCCGUGGCGAAAGCGGCUCUCUGGGACGGUACUGACGCUGAGACGCGAAAGCGUGGGGAGCAAACAGG